ensembl:lncRNA
AUGGUGAAGGCGUUAGGACACGGAGCCUCGGGAGAGGGACCCCGGGGAGCAGCCUGGCCCCUCCCGCCGCCUGAGGACACCAAGACUCUGCAAGCCAGGGGGCCCCGUGCCGGCAGCCUGGUCUCGGCCUUGGGCCUUCGAGACCGUGAGACGGAAACGUGUCCUGCCGCCGGGCCCCAAAAUACUUGUGGUAUUUGUCGCGCAGCCCAGGCUGACCGAGACCGCGGGCUACAGCCUCUGCGUUCGCGGCGGGGCAGGGGGUUCCCGGGCUCCGCACCGUUUCGCCCUUGUUACACGGGCGAGCGGGCCUGUCCGUCUUGGCUUCAGCUUGCGCUUCCCAGCAUGGAUCGAGGAGCGUCUUCUCUGGAGACGUGGCUGCCUGUUAGUUUUGCCCUUUUUUCAGACGGGCUGGUGGUUUGCUGGUUGUCGGGUUUCGAGCGGGGUUUGCGCAUUCUAGGUACAAGUCCUCUGUCAGACUCCUCGCCCAGCGUGGCCCCCAGCACAGGGGUUGAACUCAUGACCCUGAGAUCAAGACCUGAGCUGAGACCAAGAGUUGGACGCUCAGCCAACGGCGCCACGCCGGCGCCCUACAGCACAGUUGACUUGUAACAGCUUACUGAUGGACUUGGUUAUUUUGCACUUUAACUGGGAUGGAGGCACCUUACCCCCAAGGGUCCCUUUAUUGUCCCCCCAUAUCUAGACUGAAAACUCCAUCAGAAGACAUUAUAACUGCCUUUCUUUCAACUGCCAAACAUGUUGUGAAGAACUCAGGAGGACAGGAGUCUGCAUUUCUGUCCCCUCGUUGUCGGCGUCCCAGCCUCGUUCUUGCCAGAAGAACUUCCAUCGUUGGCUACAGAGUCUCUUUCUUUCAUUUGAGAAUUUAUUUCACUGGUAUUCAUGAGGGUGUUUCCACCGGCUACGGCAUUCUGGGCUGACAGCCUUCCCGUCUUGAACCGUGGCUUCCUGUGAAGGGCCUGCAGCGCUCCAGGCAGGCGUGAGCUUUUCCCCACUGCUGUCAGGGUUCUUCCAUCUUGGGUUUCGGCAGUUUGACGAGAUGCAUCUGGGAGUGGAUGUCUGUGGCUUUAUCCUAUUAGGAUUUACUCUUCUUCUUGAAUCUGUGGGUGUGUAUCUUUCACCACAUUUGGGUGGUGAAUUUCAGCUGUCAUUUCUGCAGAUCACUUUCUUUUGGGCUCCCGGCGAUACAAACAUUAGACCUUUAAUGUCUGUCCCACAGGUCCCUGGGGCCUGAUUUUUCCCCCAAUUGGUUUUCUUUCCUUUGUUCAGAUUGAAUAAUUUCUGUCCACCUGUCUUCAGUCAUAUCCAUUCUGGUGGUCUGUCUGUCCAGUGAGUUUUAAAAUUUUGCUUUUCAGUCCUAAAAUUUCCAUGUGGCUCUUCUAAAAUCUUCUGUCUCUUUUCUCUUUUUCUUUUUCUUUUUCUUUUUCUUUUUCUUUUCUUUUCUUUUUUUUGUCAGAGAGUGAGCGAGCAAGCAGCGGGAGCAGCAGCAGAGGCAGAGGGAGAAGCAGGCUCCCUGCUGACCAGGGAGCCCGACGCAGGGCUCGAUCCCAGGACUCCGGGAUCAUGACCUGAGCUGAAGGCAGAUGCUUCACCC